AUACGGGAGGCAGCAGUGAGGAAUAUUGCGCAAUGGGGGCAACCCUGACGCAGCGACGCCGCGUGAGUGAGGAAGGCCUUCGGGUCGUAAAGCUCUGUCAAAGGGAAAGAAAUGUAUAAUGGCUAAUACCUGUUAUAUUUGACGGUACCCUUAAAGGAAGCACCGGCUAACUCCGUGCCAGCAGCCGCGGUAAUACGGAGGGUGCAAGCGUUGUUCGGAAUCACUGGGCGUAAAGGGCGCGCAGGCGGUUUGGUAAGUCAGAUGUGAAAGCCCACGGCUUAACCGUGGAAGUGCAUUUGAAACUGCCAGACUUGAGUACCAGAGGGGAAAGUGGAAUUCCCGGUGUAGAGGUGAAAUUCGUAGAUAUCGGGAGGAAUACCGGUGGCGAAGGCGACUUUCUGGCUGGAUACUGACGCUGAGGCGCGAAAGCGUGGGGAGCAAACAGGAUUAGAUACCCUGGUAGUCUG
rnacentral:rRNA from 1 species